UCCGCUUCCCACAGGCCCCGCGCGGCCGUCCGACCCCGCAGCCAAUCGCGCGGCCGCUUACUCAAACCGCCGCGCAGGCGCUGCUCCCCGCAUGCUCCGGCGCCCGCCAUUGGCCCGGCCGCAGCGCCCGACGGGAGUUGUAGUCCGGCUUCGCGAGGGCGCUAUACUCGCGGCUAGGCGCGGGAGCCGGCGGCGGGAGGAGCGGUUGUGGCGGGCUUUGCCCGCCCGGGCUCGGGAGCCCGUUGCAGCUCCUGACCACGCCGGGAGACGCAGGUGCCGCCAGGGAGGGCCGGGGGCGCAGUGCAGGCAGCUGUGUCAAUCGUUUCCCCUCCAGGGACUCGCCCGUGUCUAGGGACGGUGGGUUGUGCAGCUGCGCCAGGCCUGCUGGAGCCGCGGCCUGGGAGCGCGGAGGCGCGGAGUUCGCGGCUGGGAACCGCCCUCUACCCGGCCUGGCGAGUGCUGGCCCGACGCAGGCUGCCCUCCUGCGUGCUGCCUGGAGGAGGGUAGAAUCUCCACUACCUUGAGCUCCAUCCACUCAGGUGGACUCAUCCUUUGCUUCAGUAGAAGAAAGAAAAUCCUGCCAGGAAAACUAAUAGAAGAAUCUGUUGUGCCAUUGUUGGGUCUCUGUUGCAGCCAGGCCAUGAGAACUGUCAGAACUGGAAUUGCUAAGUAGAACUGUGUAAUCUUUUUCUGACAAUGUGUAGUACAAUGUAUCACAACUUUCAAAAUUCACUUCAGAGAGCUUGAAGUCAGAAAUGUCCACACUGGUUACAGGAAAUGUUUCCUUGUUUUAGGAUGGGGAAUCAGAAUUUAUAAUAAAAAUUAUAAAUCAUA